rnacentral:rRNA from 1 species
AUUGAACGCUGGCGGAAUGCUUUACACAUGCAAGUCGAACGGCAGCACGGGAGCUUGCUCCUGGUGGCGAGUGGCGAACGGGUGAGUAACAUAUCGGAACGUACCCAGUCGUGGGGGAUAACUAUCCGAAAGGAUAGCUAAUACCGCAUACGUCCUGAGGGAGAAAGCGGGGGAUCGCAAGACCUCGCGCGAUUGGAGCGGCCGAUAUCGGAUUAGCUAGUUGGUGGGGUAAAGGCUCACCAAGGCGACGAUCCGUAGCGGGUCUGAGAGGACGACCCGCCACACUGGAACUGAGACACGGUCCAGACUCCUACGGGAGGCAGCAGUGGGGAAUUUUGGACAAUGGGGGCAAGCCUGAUCCAGCCAUUCCGCGUGAGUGAAGAAGGCCUUCGGGUUGUAAAGCUCUUUCAGCAGGAACGAAACGGUCGGCUUUAAUAAAAUCGGCUAAUGACGGUACCUGCAGAAGAAGCACCGGCUAACUACGUG